CCUGCCCCUAGAGGCAUUGUAGGUGUGGCUGUUGUAUCACACGUGUGUCAGGAGGUGGCAGAGAGGAGAGAGGCUAUGUCUAUGCUCAGUGUUCUGACUUAUGAACAUCUGAAAGUUUAGUAGCCUAACAUU
ensembl:snoRNA